UACGGGGGGGGUAAGCGUUGUUCGGAAUUACUGGGCGUAAAGGGCUCGUAGGCGGCCAACUAAGUCAGACGUGAAAUCCCUCAGCUUAACUGGGGAGCUGCGUCUGAUACUGGAUGGCUUGGAUUGGGAGAGGAAUGCGGAAUUCCAGGUGUAGCGGUGAAAUGCGCAGAUAUCAGGAAGAACACCCGUGGCGAAGGCGGCUCUCUGGUACGUGACCUGACGCUGAGACGCGAAAGCGUGGGGAGCGAACAGG
rnacentral:rRNA from 1 species